UCUAGAACUCAAGAUAUGAGCUAAACAUUGAGUAGUGUCUGAGCUGCAAGACAGAUUCCGACUUCUCCGUUGUUACUAAGAUUUGAACUUGAAAACGAUAGAAUUGAGUCUUGGACUCCCAUGAAAGUUUUAGGUCAAUGUCUUAGCUUUCCAUA
rfam:Populus trichocarpa scaffold_15_contig_79, whole genome shotgun sequence.